CAGCUGUUGAGACAUCAUCGUGUGUGUCUGUGACAGUGCGACUGAACAACAGCCAACCGCAAAAUGCGAGUCAACUGUUUCGAACUCACUGACUAUAGUGGAGAUGAGUUGCAGCAUUGAUCGUUCACGUGUACUGUAGUAUACAACAAAGUCAAUUUGCAAAAAGCGAGUCGAAUAGUGAAUGGAGUCGUCGGACGAGUGUCACGCGCUACUUCGGGUCGCUUGUUUGCCAUUAAACGACUACGGUUCUCAAAGGACUUUGACAACAACAGGUCAUUGCAACCUGGUCGUUUUAGAUGAAUCCGGCGGCGGCUGCUGUGAAAGUGCGGACGUCAUCAUCGUGCAACAUGAAAUGACGUCGACAACCACCGAACCAACGCACACCGUCGGCCGGAAGUCAUCAGAUCAACGGUUAGAACAGAGCAAAGUGCCGACUCGCGAUAUCGAAACCAACAGCGAUGUGGAAUCGAUCGUAAAGUUGCGUUUGUUCUUGGCUACGGCAGCACUUUGGAUCGUUUGGCUCCUGCUAUACGUCAUACUCUCCCACUGGCGCUUUAUUUAAACCGUCCAAUCAUCUCUGCGCGUAUCAGUGGAACAAUCCGGAAGUGGCCAUUGCAUCCAACAUCAAACUCUGGCAAAAAUAGUAAAUAGUCCCAGAAAACAGCAGAGAUGACGGAGAAAGAAAACCAAAUGUGUAUUUAUUGUUUGUAAAGAAUGUGCAAAUGUGUUUGGCCAAAACAAUUAGAAAAUGAAGCGGAAUUCAAUAUUUAAAAAGGAACAUGAAGCUGACAAAUACUUGGAAAAAUGCAGCAAUAAUCACACACCAAUAAGAAGAAAAUUAGACUAGACCAAAUAAAAAGAUGUUUUUCUUUUCAAAACAGCAGGAUAGAGACUGGAAACAGAUUGGUUUUUGGUUCAAACAAGACGAAACAAAAUUGAAGGAUACAAAAUACAUGUUUAAAGACAAA